rnacentral:rRNA from 1 species
GGAGUGAACGCUGGCGGUAGGCCUAACACAUGCAAGUCGAACGGCAGCACGGUAAGAGCUUGCUCUUAUGGGAGGCGAGUGGCGGACGGGUGAGGAAUACAUCGGAAUCUACCUUUUGGUGGGGGAUAACGUAGGGAAACUUACGCUAAUACCGCAUACGCCCUUCGGGGGAAAGCCGGGGACCAGCAAUGGCCUGGCGCUGAUAGAUGAGCCGAUGUCGGAUUAGCUAGUUGGUGAGGUAAUGGCUCACCAAGGCGACGAUCCGUAGCUGGUCUGAGAGGAUGAUCAGCCACACUGGAACUG